rnacentral:lncRNA from 1 species
GGGCCUGGCGUGGCGCACCCGGCGGUGCUGGCACUCGUCUCUCGGUGACCAGAGAGCAGUGUGAGGAUUUGGCAGCGACGUGUUGACGCUGCGCUUGCGUACCAUACGUAGGGCAAGACUGGAAGGCCGCUGGGAAAAUACCAGCAUCCCGAACGCAAAAAACGGACAGCGGGUCCACGUGCUAGGGAUUCGACCGCAUCCAAUGCAGAGGGCAGAAGAGGGCGCCGCAACUCUGAGCAGGGUUGAGAAGCCUGUUUGGAUCCAGCUCUGCCAUUCUGGGCCGUGAGGUUACCAAUGUAGCAGUGAAGAAAGCCGGGGAUCACAGGCUCUCCUCCUUGUUAUAACAUUAGUAACAACACAAGAGGAGAGGAAACCAAGAGAGAAGGUAAGGGGAGACUCGAGUCUUUCUCAUGCUUUGGUUGUUUGCUUCUGCUAUGCUCAAAAGCAGGUAAGCAUAGCCUUGCUUUCUGUAAACUAAAACGCUGGCAACAUCCUCUGUUAUUUGUUGGACAUUGAGCUGUGUUCCUUGCCACGUUCAAGGUCCUUGUUCCUGCUCCAUCCUAGAGCACACAAUGUUUGUUGUUAUUAUUCAUACUACUUAUGAGGUUUGGUCAGUUUAUCAACCAUAAUAAUUUUCCUGGCUAAUUACAUGGCAGUUUGUAUUUUCACAAUGUCCUGCAGCCACAACUUGUGUAGGGAGUGAUGUUUAGGCGGGCUACAAGUUGUGUGUGAUGGAUAUUUAACUUUGCAUACUUAUUAUAAGCACAAUAAAAUAUAUGUUUGGCUAUGGGUUAAUAUCAAUACUCAAUGAUUUAUCUGCCUGGUCCCUAAUUUCUAAGACGCACAAGUUAGCUAGAACUGUAACUGAGCCAGUAGGUAGAUUUCCUACUCCCGUUCCGAAUGCUGGGAGAGGCACUAAUGUAAAGCCAGUAGGUAGAUUUCCUACUCCCGUUCCGAAUGCUGGAGGAGGCACUAAUGUAUAGCCAGUAGAUAGAUUUCCUACUCCCGUUCCGAAUGCUGGAGGAGGCACUAAUGUAUAGCCUGCCUAGUGCUUGGAUGCAGUUGUUGAUGCAGUUGGACUCACCUCAACCACUGCUUUGAGGAAACCCAAGAGGAGGCUCCCUUUACCCUUGAAAACACCCUAGGUGCCUGAAGUACCUCAAUUGGAACCUCCUGUAUUUAUUCUAUUAAGCCCAUAAUAAAUUUAGUUCUUUAUAAAAACGGGA